GCCAUCUCUCCCACUUGUAUAAUUUCUUUGAGCGUAGCUUUCAUGUCGACCUCCCCAACGGGCCGGGGACCCUAGCUCGUCUCCUUUGUGUGACCAAAGGGGCCACCGCCCUUUCAGCCACUGGAACAGAUUACAACCCCUAUGGUAUGGACGUUUACAGAUAGAUUUGAUGCUUACUUCCCCAUAGGACAAUAGGAGAGCCAUGAAUGGUAGAUGUCUUGGUACUCCCCUCCCAUGGAAUGACCAACAGGAUGCUGAUGGGACCUCGAUCAUCAGCUUCUGAGAGGAGAUAAGGUUGUUGGUAGAUGAUGGUAUCACUCCAAUGGCCAGUUACUAAGUGUUUUUUUUUUGCGAAGAGGUCAGUUACUCAGUUAUGUUCACAUGACGAAGGCCCUCAUAAUACCUUCUAACCUAGUUAACGAAUCGAUCACAUUUACUCCUACCAUCGAUGCCCAAAUUAGACUCGCUAAAUAAGGAAGGCUAAUAGAUCCGACAAUUAUUGCAACCGUGCAUGCAUAAUUAAUUCUACUCGGUAAUCCAUCCGAUGAAAAAAAGUUAUUACGGGUAUUUUGGACUUUUAGCAUUGCUACUAUCUUAUUUAAAAUUUUCUAAACGAAUAGUCUUUGUGGGAUGGAGGGAAUUUUCUAAGCGAUCAGUUUUUGUGGGACGGAGGGAGUAGCUUACUUUGGAGUAAAAGCACAGGAGUGACUAAUUACUUCGCCAGGAGUACUUAACUGUUGAUGAAUUAUUAAAUCAAAGAGAUGGUGUAUGCAUGCCAUGUAAGGACGAUGAUUGUUUAAUUUUCAGUCCUUGUCAUGCUACUUGUUUUUAAUGUUCUAAGAAAGGACCAAGAUGUAUCACUAAUUAGCAUCUCUCAAUUUACAAUUAGUGGUAACCUAGGCACAUCUCCUGUGUACAUAAAAAGGAAACAUAAAAAUGAUAUCAUUACUAAAAUUAGUAUGUUUGAGAGGUAGUACUAAUACCUUGUUAUCUUAACACAAAAUCUAUAUGGGACCGUUAUGUUAUGUUUUUGGAUAAGCAAAUAAUUUACUCCUCCAUCCACAAUCCUGAAAGUACAAAUUAUUUACUACCCUCCCAUCAAUGUGGGACAAAAAAGAAAUUCGCGGAUACAAGUGGCACUUUGGAAGCAUGCCAUUGCCUGCCGCGCUGUGGCGUCACAAAGAUUUGAUUCCUGCUUGCUCACAAUAACUAAGACAAGAUUAUGUUAAUUAUGCGAGUGCUUUAGGGAUCAUCCUACCUGCGCUCGUGUGUACCCCACAGAGCCCACGCCAAGGGGCAGGUGGAGAUUAGCGUAGCCAUCCAUAGCAACAGAGAGGCGGUCUAAAGAAUGGUGUAGGCAUAUGUGGGCCUGGCAACUCGUGGAAUACUUGGUGAACAAUCAUUUCUAUCU
rnacentral:lncRNA from 1 species